UCCUCUACCUAGCCAACUGCAUCAGUUUGUCAGUACAACCAGUGCUCCUGGGGGAAUUAGUUCUAGGAUGCCUACAGGGGACCUCCGCUUUCACACUACACCUGAAGAUUAAGCUAGCUUUAAAAUCUGACCUGGAAAUAUGAUUGGGAAAGUCCAAAACUCCUUCAGAACUGAGGAAAGUCCUUAGACUCUGCACCCGUGUGAAUAUCUGUGUAUCCUGUGGACUCCUUCAGAUUCGGUGGACUACGAUGAAAAUUUUUUUGGGGUUUAAUAUCAAUAAAAUGUCUAACAAGG